GCCAGUGUGGCAUAGUGGUUUGAGCGUUGGACUAGGACUCUGGAGACCAGGGUUCGAUUCACUGUUGGCC